rnacentral:misc_RNA from 1 species
CGCACCCGCGCAAUGGCUCUCGCGCGCUGCUUGCUAUCGACUAUGUCGGGAUUGAUGACCGAAGACAUACCAAACUUCUUUCAGGCUCACACCGAUUUGAAUGAUACUAACGUUAGUAAAAUAGGAUGUCCAGACCGGUGCUGUCCGAUCCUAUGAAAUACUUGCGGCAUGCACGUUUUUGUCACUAUUGCCCGCUAUUGGCGCGGCGGCCGCGUCAAACGAACGCAACCGGACGUCCUCGUCCGCAUUGCGAUAAAGUGUCGUGCGCUGCCUCGGAUUGCGCCCGGCCGAAAGGAUGAUCGCUUCCAUGUCUUGCGG